rnacentral:rRNA from 1 species
GUGUCAGCAGCCGCGGUAAUACGUAGGGCGCAAGCGUUGUCCGGAAUUAUUGGGCGUAAAGAGCUCGUAGGCGGUUUGUCGCGUCUGCUGUGAAAACCUAAGGCUCAACCUUGGGCUUGCAGUGGGUACGGGCAGACUAGAGUGCGGUAGGGGUGACUGGAAUUCCUGGUGUAGCGGUGGAAUGCGCAGAUAUCAGGAGGAACACCGAUGGCGAAGGCAGGUCACUGGGCCGCAACUGACGCUGAGGAGCGAAAGCAUGGGGAGCGAACAGGAUUAGAAACCCUCGUAGUCC